ACUGCCACUAGAGGCGUUGCAGAGCGACCAUCAGUGUCGUGUCUGUGUCAUUAGUUGGCAGAGAGUGAAAGGCCAUGUCUACGCUCAGUACCCAGAAUGCAGUGGGUGCUCAGAAUGAUUAAUGGCCAGACAUC